AGCAACAUGUCAGCAACAUGACACAAAGUUGGGAGACCAUGCAGGCCACAUGCACCCUCACCUGAGCUGUAAGUCACUUCAUCUCAGCUGCUCAUACCUGAAAUGUUUUUGGCAGAGCUGAUUAGGGAGCGCUUCAUAGCCUGGCUCGUGUGACUGGCCCUGACUGAUGGGGCUGCUAGCAGAGCCUGUCUGGGUCUAACUACCUCUGCUGACCUUUGAGCAUGGCGGAGUGUAGCCAGCAUCUGUCACAGCAGCAGCAGCAAGAGAAGGACUACCAAACAACUGACGUAGAGCUGAACGAGUGCUUUUCCCCUUGUUGUGCAGAAACAGAAAAGAGAUCUAAGAAAAGAAGAUCUCUGCAGCAAACCAGGAAAAUCAAUUCCAGUCAUAUUAGCGUUUCUAUAUGGCUUUAAUGACGUACAGAUGAAGGCAUGACAGGAAACAGGAUGGGAGAGAGGGGGAGUGACAUGCAGCAAAGGACCCCAGGCAGGGAUUCGAACCCGGGGCCACUGCAGUGGGGACAAAACCUCUGCAACUGGGAUGUCCACUCUACCAACUGCAAAAUAAUAGCUCAAUUCAUCAUUACUGUGUUGUCAAAUGAUAAUCUCAGCAUGUGCCACUAAAGAGUGUUUAAAUCCAGGUGUUUACACUCACAACUACACUAGAAAAUUACAGCAGGCGGUCGUACAGCUGCUCCGUUAACAGCUGAACAGCAGCUCUUGGAGAGUGCAAACACCAACAUGAUGGCAGACUGAAAAUAACAGUAAAGACUUGUCAAAUUA